GAGUUUGAUCCUGGCUCAGAUUGAACGCUGGCGGCAGGCUUAACACAUGCAAGUCGAACGGUAGCAGGAGAAAGCUUGCUUUCUUGCUGACGAGUGGCGGACGGGUGAGUAACGCUUGGGAAUCUGGCUUAUGGAGGGGGAUAACUACGGGAAACUGUAGCUAAUACCGCGUAGUAUCGAGAGAUGAAAGGGUGGGACCUUCGGGCCACCUGCCAUAAGAUGAGCCCAAGUGGGAUUAGGUAGUUGGUGGGGUAAAGGCCUACCAAGCCGACGAUCUCUAGCUGGUCUGAGAGGAUGACCAGCCACACUGGAACUGAGACACGGUCCAGACUCCUACGGGAGGCAGCAGUGGGGAAUAUUGCACAAUGGGGGGAACCCUGAUGCAGCCAUGCCGCGUGAAUGAAGAAGGCCUUCGGGUUGUAAAGUUCUUUCGGUGAUGAGGAAGGGUGGUGUUUUAAUAGAGCACUACAUUGACGUUAGUCACAGAAGAAGCACCGGCUAACUCCGUGCCAGCAGCCGCGGUAAUACGGAGGGUGCAAGCGUUAAUCGGAAUGACUGGGCGUAAAGGGCACGCAGGCGGUGACUUAAGUGAGAUGUGAAAGCCCCGAGCUUAACUUGGGAAUUGCAUUUCAUAC
rnacentral:rRNA from 1 species